GCGGGAGUCGGAUGGACGUGGCACUCGCCAACCUGGUCAGAUCCUGACGGAAGCAGCCACAACGAAUUCGCUGCGGGUCAUUCGGCUCCUAAUUU
rnacentral:SRP_RNA from 1 species